rnacentral:rRNA from 1 species
GACGAACGCUGGCGGCGUGCUUAACACAUGCAAGUCGAACGGAAAGGCCCUGCUUUUGUGGGGUGCUCGAGUGGCGAACGGGGGAGUAACACGUGAGUAACCUGCCCUUGACUUUCGGAUAACUUCAGGAAACUGGGGCUAAUACCGGAUAGGAGCUCCUGCUGCAUGGUGGGGGUUGGAAAGUUUCGGCGGUUGGGGAUGGACUCGCGGCUUAUCAGCUUGCUGGUGGGGUAGUUGCUUACCAAGGCUUUGACGGGUAGCCGGCCUGAGAGGGUGACCGGCGACAUUGGGACUGAGAUACGGCGCAGAGUCGUACGGGAGGCAGCAGUGGGGAAUCUUGCCCAAUGGGCGGAAGCCUGAUGCAGAAACGCUGCGUGCGGGAUGACGGCCUUCGGGUUGUAAACCGCUUUCGCCUGUGACGACGCGUGAGUGACGGUAAUGGGUAAAGAAGCACCGGCUAACUACGUG